GAUGAACGCUGGCGGCGUGCCUAAUACAUGCAAGUCGAGCGAACAGACGAGAGUGCUUGCACUCUCUGACGUUAGCGGCGGACGGGUGAGUAACACGUGGGUAACCUACCUAUAAGACUGGGAUCACUUCGGGAAACCGGAGCUAAUACCGGAUAAUAUUUAGCUUCGCAUGACGCAAUAGUGAAAGACGGUUCUGCUGUCACUUAGAGAUGGACCCGCGGCGUAUUAGCUAGUUGGUGAGGUAACGGCUCACCAAGGCAACGAUACAUAGCCGACCUGAGAGGGUGAUCGGCCACACUGGGACUGAGACACGGCCCAGACUCCUACGGGAGGCAGCAGUAGGGAAUCUUCCGCAAUGGGCGAAAGCCUGACGGAGCAAUGCCGCGUGAGUGAAGAAGGUUUUCGGAUCGUAAAACUCUGUUGUAAGGGAAGAACAAGUACGUUAGUAACUGAACGUACCUUGACGGUACCUUACCAGAAAGCCACGGCUAACUACGUG
rnacentral:rRNA from 1 species